rnacentral:rRNA from 1 species
UACGUAGGGUGCGAGCGUUAAUCGGAAUUACUGGGCGUAAAGUGUGCGCAGGCGGCCGAGCAAGUCGAGUGUGAAAGCCCCGAGCUUAACUUGGGAACUGCGCUCGAAACUACUUGGCUAGAGUGUGGCAGAGGGAGGUGGAAUUCCACGUGUAGCGGUGAAAUGCGUAGAGAUCAGGAGGAACACCGGUGGCGAAGGCGGCACUCUGGGUCGGCCCUGACGCUGAGGCGCGAAAGCGUGGGGAGCGAACGGG